AGAACGAACGCUGGCGGCGUGCUUAACACAUGCAAGUCGAACGCGAAAGGGACUUCGGUCCUGAGUAAAGUGGCGCACGGGUGAGUAACGCGUAGAUAACCUGUCUCCAUGUCUGGAAUAAUACGCCGAAAGGGGUACUAAUACCGGAUAUUCUUGCUUUUCAUAAGUUAUGCAAGCAAAGGUGGCCUCUGCAUAUGCUACUGCAUGAAGAGGGGUCUGCGUACCAUUAGCUAGUAGGUGGGGUAAUGGCCUACCUAGGCGACGAUGGUUAGCGGGUCUGAGAGGAUGAUCCGCCACACUGGCACUGGAACACGGGCCAGACUCCUACGGGAGGCAGCAGUGAGGAAUAUUGCGCAAUGGGGGAAACCCUGACGCAGCGACGCCGCGUGAGUGAGGAAGGCCUUCGGGUCGUAAAGCUCUGUCAAGGAGGAAAGAAGUGUACAAUGGCUAAUACCUGUUGUAUUUGACGGUACCUCUAAAGGAAGCACCGGCUAACUCCGUGCCAGCCGCCGC
rnacentral:rRNA from 1 species